GGCAAGGAGGUAAAAAUGCCGGAAA
rnacentral:misc_RNA from 1 species